UGGGCAUUAAUGACGUGCCCUGUGCCCAGCGCUCCCUGUUCACCCAACUGAAACCAGAGCAAGGCUUGCUUUGCUUGGAACAACUUAAUGUAACUUUAAACCAAAAUAAAUCACUUUUUUCUUCUUUUUUUUCUUUUAGAUGCUGGAAUUGCCUCUCUGGCUGUGUGCUGAGCUCUGGCUGCAGGGGACUGUCAGGCCUUGGUGGCUGUGAGUUCCUGUUCUUCUCCCUGGGAAACUGGAAAGAGUUAUUCAUUAGAUUGCAGAAAUGUAAUUUUGAGGGGACCCAGCAACUGUUUGUGUAGGAAAAGCCCGCAAUUCCAUGCCGAAUUCCUGCUGGAACAGCCUCCCAGUGCCUCCUGGAGCCCGGCUGUUCCCCCGCAGAGCUGCCGCUCUAACGCCAGGUUUGCCAGGAAGCAGCCACGGUUCCAGGUUUGCUCAGCGGGAUCGGGACAAGGACAGGUUGAUAUUCCACAGACUUUGCUGUUUAUAACCCUCCUCCCCCAGCCCCGCUGGUGUCCCUGGGGGGACUUGAGCGAGCUCCCUGGAAUUGGGCCGGUUUUCCGCCCCGGGCCGGGCUCCAGGGGAUGUGUUCGCCCAGGAGAAGGCGGGGGCCGGACGCGCUCCCGGCCCGGGGCGAGGCAGCCCCUGAGCACGGGCGAGGACGUCUGUCCGGGCGGGAAGCCGCUGUCCCUUCCGAGCCUCGGGAGCGGCCCCGGGGAGUUCUUUUCCCCGAGGAAAGGGAUGCACAGCCCUGCCUUCAGGGCACCUCGGCUCUGACCCACCUGUUCCAGCUGUCCACGGGUUCUGCAGGUGCGGUUGGGUCCCCGAAAAACUGCGAAUUGCAUCCAA